rfam:Fusarium verticillioides 7600 chromosome 6, whole genome shotgun sequence.
GGGCGAAUGGUUUAGUGGUAUAAUACUCCCUUAGCAUGGCUUCGUUGCUCAUCAACCCUUCAUCUGGGAGUGGUCCAGGGUUCGAUUCCCUGUUCGUCCA